rnacentral:rRNA from 1 species
AAAACUUACCAGGUCAAGACAUGGGCGUGAUUGACAGGCUAAUGACUUUUCUCGAUUCCAUGGAUGGUGGUGCAUGGUCGCACUUAGUUGGUGCAGUGAUUUGUCAGGUUUAUUCCGGUAACGAACGAGACCUCGGCCUUGUAAAUAGCUAUGCUGCUUACAGGGACAUUGGCGGCUACGCCAAGGAAGCUCGAGGCAAUUGCAGAUCUGGAAUGCCCUUAGAUGUCCUGGGUCGCACGCGUGCUACAAUGACGCCACGAACGAGCUUGCGUGAUGAAAGUUACGCAUAAUCAGCAGUCGGCGUCUUAAGGGAUAGUCUCUUGUAACUGUGGGACUCCAACUAGGAAUGUCUCGUAAGCACAAGUCAACAUCUUGUGUUGAUUACGUCCCUGCUCUUUGUACACACCGCCCGUCGCUCCUACCGAUCGAGUGUUUAGGUGAAUCUGAUGGACGUAAGGAAGUCAAAUAAACCUGAGCACUAGAGAAGAGAGUCGAUCCUC